GGUGGUACAGCUUAGUGGUAGAGUGCUUGCUUGGCAUGCAUGAGGUAUUGGGUUCAGUGCCCAGUACCACAC
rnacentral:tRNA from 1 species